UAGGGAAUCUUCCGCAAUGGACGCAAGUCUGACGGAGCAACGCCGCGUGAGUGAAGAAGGAUUUCGGUUCGUAAAACUCUGUUGUUAGAGAAGAACAGCGCAUAGAGUAACUGUUAUGCGUGUGACGGUAUCUAACCAGAAAGCCACGGCUAACUACGUGCCAGCAGCCGCGGUAAUACGUAGGUGGCAAGCGUUGUCCGGAUUUAUUGGGCGUAAAGCGAGCGCAGGCGGUCAAUUAAGUCUGAUGUGAAAGCCCCCGGCUAAACCGGGGAGGGUCAUUGGAAACUGGUUGACUUGAGUGCAGAAGAGGAGAGUGGAAUUCCAUGUGUAGCGGUGAAAGGCGUAGAUAUGUGGAGGAACACCAGUGGCGAAGGCGACUCUCUGGUCUGUAACUGACGCUGAGGCUCGAAAGCGUGGGUAGCAAACAGG
rnacentral:rRNA from 1 species